GGAGGGUGCAAGCGUUAAUCGGAAUUACUGGGCGUAAAGCGCACGCAGGCGGUUUGGUUAAGUCAGAUGUGAAAGACCCCCGGGGCUCAACCUGGGAACUGCAUUUGAUACUGGCAAACUAGAGUAUGGGAGAGAGAAGUGGAAUUCCACAUGUAGCGGUGAAAUGCGUAGAGAUGUGGAGGAACAUCAGUGGCGAAGGCGACUUCUUGGCCCAAUACUGACGCUCAGGUGCGAAAGCGUGGGGAGCAAACAGGAUUAGAUACCCUGGUAGUCCACGCCGUAAACGAUGUCUACUAGCCGUUGGGGGGCUUGACCCCUUAGUGGCGCAGCUAACGCCUUAAGUAGACCGCCUGGGGAGUACGGCCGCAAGGUUA
rnacentral:rRNA from 1 species